UACGGGAGGCAGCAGUGGGGAAUAUUGCACAAUGGGCGCAAGCCUGAUGCAGCCAUGCCGCGUGUAUGAAGAAGGCCUUCGGGUUGUAAAGUACUUUCAGUCGUGAAGGAAGGUGUUAAGGUUAAUAACCUUAGCAAUUGACGUUAGCGACAGAAGAAGCACCGGCUAACUCCGUGCCAGCAGCCGCGGUAAUACGGAGGGUGCGAGCGUUAAUCGGAAUUACUGGGCGUAAAGGGCACGCAGGCGGUUAAUUAAGUUGGAUGUGAAAUCCCCGGGCUUAACCUGGGAAUGGCAUUCAAGACUGGUUAGCUAGAGUCUUGUAGAGGGGGUAGAAUUCCAUGUGUAGCGGUGAAAUGCGUAGAGAUGUGGAGGAAAUACCGGUGGGCGAAGGGCGGCCCCUGGGACAAAGACUGACGCUCAUGUGCGAAAGCGGUGGGGAGCAAACAGGGAUUAGAUA
rnacentral:rRNA from 1 species